GAAUAUUGGUCAAUGGACGAGAGUCUGAACCAGCCAAGUAGCGUGAAGGAUGACUGCCCUAUGGGUUGUAAACUUCUUUUAUAUGGGAAUAAAGUAUUCCACGUGUGGAAUUUUGUAUGUACCAUAUGAAUAAGGAUCGGCUAACUCCGUGCCAGCAGCCGCGGUAAUACGGAGGAUCCGAGCGUUAUCCGGAUUUAUUGGGUUUAAAGGGAGCGUAGGUGGAUUGUUAAGUCAGUUGUGAAAGUUUGCGGCUCAACCGUAAAAUUGCAGUUGAUACUGGAUGUCUUGAGUGCAGUUGAGGCAGGCGGAAUUCGUGGUGUAGCGGUGAAAUGCUUAGAUAUCACGAAGAACUCCGAUUGCGAAGGCAGCCUGCUAAGCUGCAACUGACAUUGAGGCUCGAAAGUGUGGGUAUCAAACAGGAUUAGAUACCCUGGUAGUCCACACGGUAAACGAUGAAUACUCGCUGUUUGCGAUAUACGGCAAGCGGCCAAGCGAAAGCGUUAAGUAUUCCACCUGGGGAGUACGCCGGCAACGGUGAAACUCAAAGGAAUUGACGGGGGCCCGCACAAGCGGAGGAACAUGUGGUUUAAUUCGAUGAUACGCGAGGAACCUUACCCGGGCUUAAAUUGCACUCGAAUGAUCCGGAAACGGUUCAGCUAGCAAUAGCGAGUGUGAAGGUGCUGCAUGGUUGUCGUCAGCUCGUGCCGUGAGGUGUCGGCUUAAGUGCCAUAACGAGCGCAACCCUUGUUGUCAGUUACUAACAGGUGAUGCUGAGGACUCUGACAAGACUGCCAUCGUAAGAUGUGAGGAAGGUGGGGAUGACGUCAAAUCAGCACGGCCCUUACGUCCGGGGCUACACACGUGUUACAAUGGGGGGUACAGAGGGCCGCUACCACGCGAGUGGAUGCCAAUCCCUAAAACCCCUCUCAGUUCGGACUGGAGUCUGCAACCCGACUCCACGAAGCUGGAUUCGCUAGUAAUCGCGCAUCAGCCACGGCGCGGUGAAUACGUUCCCG
rnacentral:rRNA from 1 species